UACGUAGGGCGCAAGCGUUAUCCGGAAUUAUUGGGCGUAAAGAGCUCGUAGGCGGUCUGUCGCGUCGGAUGUGAAAACCCAGGGCUCAACCCUGGGCCUGCAUUCGAUACGGGCAGACUAGAGUUCGGUAGGGGAGACUGGAAUUCCUGGUGUAGCGGUGAAAUGCGCAGAUAUCAGGAGGAACACCGGUGGCGAAGGCGGGUCUCUGGACAGUUCCUGACGCUGAGGCACGAAGGUCAGGGGAGCAAACGGG
rnacentral:rRNA from 1 species